AAACCGUGUACGUACAAGCAGUGGGAGCCUCUUUAUGGGGUGACUGCGUACCUUUUGUAUAAUGGGUCAGCGACUUAUAUUCUGUAGCAAGGUUAACCGUAUAGGGGAGCCGAAGGGAAACCGAGUCUUAACUGGGCGUUAAGUUGCAGGGUAUAGACCCGAAACCCGGUGAUCUAGCCAUGGGCAGGUUGAAGGUUGGGUAACACUAACUGGAGGACCGAACCGACUAAUGUUGAAAAAUUAGCGGAUGACCUGUGGCUGGGGGUGAAAGGCCAAUCAAACCGGGAGAUAGCUGGUUCUCCCCGAAAGCUAUUUAGGUAGCGCCUCGUGAACUCAUCUUCGGGGGUAGAGCACUGUUUCGGCUAGGGGGCCAUCCCGGCUUACCAACCCGAUGCAAACUACGAAUACCGAAGAAUGUUAUCACGGGAGACACACGGCGGGUGCUAACGUCCGUCGUGAAGAGGGAAACAACCCAGACCGCCAGCUAAGGUCCCAAAGUCAUGGUUAAGUGGGAAACGAUGUGGGAAGGCACAGACAGCCAGGAUGUUGGCUUAGAAGCAGCCAUCAUUUAAAGAAAGCGUAAUAGCUCACUGGUCGAGUCGGCCUGCGCGGAAGAUGUAACGGGGCUAAACCAUGCACCGAAGCUGCGGCAGCGACACUAUGUGUUGUUGGGUAGGGGAGCGUUCUGUAAGCCGUUGAAGGUGUGCUGUGAGGCAUGCUGGAGGUAUCAGAAGUGCGAAUGCUGACAUAAGUAACGAUAAAGCGGGUGAAAAGCCCGCUCGCCGGAAGACCAAGGGUUCCUGUCCAACGUUAAUCGGGGCAGGGUGAGUCGACCCCUAAGGCGAGGCCGAAAGGCGUAGUCGAUGGGAAACAGGUUAAUAUUCCUGUACUUGGUGUUACUGCGAAGGGGGGACGGAGAAGGCUAUGUCAGCCGGGCGACGGUUGUCCCGGUUUAAGCAUGUAGGCGGAGGU
rnacentral:rRNA from 1 species